UGGCGGUAUUUUAUCUUAUCAGAGGAACCUGUUUUGUAAUGGACAACACACCAUUACCUUACUUUUAUACAGCUUAUAUAUCGUUGUUUUUAGGAUUAAACUUAGAGUUUUUUCGGAAAUUUAAUUUAUAAAACAUCAAAUCAAGGUGUAGCGUUUAUAAGAAUUAAUGGGUUACAAUUACUUAAGUAAUAGACUUUUAGUUUAAACUGACAAGAACAAUGGAUUUGAAAGUAAUUUUGUUAGGUAAUGAAUAAAGCUCUCUGAAAU
rnacentral:rRNA from 1 species